rnacentral:rRNA from 1 species
GACGAACGCUGGCGGCGUGCUUAACACAUGCAAGUCGAACGGAAAGGCCCUGCUUUUGUGGGGUGCUCGAGUGGCGAACGGGUGAGUCACACGUGAGUAACCUGCCCUUGACUUUGGGAUAACUUCAGGAAACUGGGGCUAAUACCGGAUAGGAGCUCCUGCUGCAUGGUGGGGGUUGGAAAGUUUCGGCGGUUGGGGAUGGACUCGCGGCUUAUCAGCUUGUUGGUGGGGUAGUGGCUUACCAAGGCUUUGACGGGUAGCCGGCCUGAGAGGGUGACCGGCCACAUUGGGACUGAGAUACGGCCCAGACUCCUACGGGAGGCAGCAGUGGGGAAUAUUGCACAAUGGGCGGAAGCCUGAUGCAGCAACGCCGCGUGCGGGAUGACGGCCUUCGGGUUGUAAACCGCUUUCGCCUGUGACGAAGCGUGAGUGACGGUAAUGGGUAAAGAAGCACCGGCUAACUACGUG